CAGAUAGCUCAGUUGGUAGAGCAAGGGACUGAAAAUCCCUGUGUCACUGGUUCGAUUCCAGUUCUGGG
rnacentral:tRNA from 1 species